rnacentral:rRNA from 1 species
AUAUGCCUUUUGGUGGGGGACAACAGUUGGAAACGACUGCUAAUACCGCAUGAUGUCUACGGACCAAAGUGGGGGACCUUCGGGCCUCACGCCAAAAGAUUAGCCCAAGUGGGAUUAGCUAGUUGGUAAGGUAAUGGCUUACCAAGGCAACGAUCCCUAGCUGGUUUGAGAGGAUGAUCAGCCACACUGGGACUGAGACACGGCCCAGACUCCUACGGGAGGCAGCAGUGGGGAAUAUUGCACAAUGGGGGAAACCCUGAUGCAGCCAUGCCGCGUGUGUGAAGAAGGCCUUCGGGUUGUAAAGCACUUUCAGUUGUGAGGAAAGGUUGGUGGUUAAUACCCAUCAGCUGUGACGUUAGCAACAGAAGAAGGACCGGCUAACUCCGUGCCAGCAGCCGCGGUAAUACGGAGGGUCCGAGCGUUAAUCGGAAUUACUGGGCGUAAAGCGCACGCAGGCGGUUUGUUAAGCUAGAUGUGAAAGCCCCGGGCUCAACCUGGGAAUAGCAUUUAGAACUGGCAGACUAGAGUCUUGGAGAGGGGAGUGGAAUUCCAGGUGUAGCGGUGAAAUGCGUAGAUAUCUGGAGGAACAUCAGUGGCGAAGGCGACUCCCUGGCCAAAGACUGACGCUCAUGUGCGAAAGUGUGGGUAGCGAACAG